UACGGGGGGGGCAAGCGUUGUUCGGAAUUACUGGGCGUAAAGCGCGUGUAGGCGGUCCGGUAAGUCCGCUGUGAAAGUCAGGGGCUCAACCCUCGAAUGCCGGUGGAUACUGUCGGGCUAGAGUGCGGAAGAGGCGAGUGGAAUUCCUGGUGUAGCGGUGAAAUGCGCAGAUAUCAGGAGGAACACCAAUUGCGAAGGCAGCUCGCUGGGACGUUACUGACGCUGAGACGCGAAAGCGUGGGGAGCAAACAGG
rnacentral:rRNA from 1 species